CUUGUCCUGCAUGAUAUAUCUAGUAAAGAAGAUUGAAGACCAAAUGAAAUGAUGCCCCUUGAAAAUAUUUUAGAGAAGAGGAAAGUGAAGGAUGCUGAGGAGGAACAGUCUUUGAUGUCAGAGACAAUCCAGGAGAGCAGAGUGCUGAAAACCAGAUUAGAUAUGAAUUUCAUGACGAUUUCCUGGAAGAAAGAUGCUGGGAUGUACAACUGCAGGAAAGUAGUAGCAUGGUUUGAAGUUCAGUGGAAAAUUCCAUGGGACUAAGGACCCAAAGCCUGUAUCCUCAGCUACUCUCACCCUCCACCAGUUAUAUUGUCUCAAUGACCAAACCCUGUCAAUUCUGUUUCAGAAAUGUCACUAGAAUUUGAGCCCUCUCCACCUUUACUGCCACUGCUCUGGUUCAAGUUCUUUUCUUAGAAUCUUUUACCUACAAGACUUUCCUUCUGUCAUCCAAUCCCCCACUCCUCCCCACUCUCCACUCCACUUCAUUCCCCACUCUCC
rnacentral:lncRNA from 1 species